UCCUCACGAUGUUUUCCUUCACCGAAAAGCGACUGGUAAAUAUCAAAUGAUAUUUCGUACAUAAGUUCCGAAAAACUCAUUAGUACAGUCAGCGUCAAAUAAUUUGUAACAACCAAAGUAGCCAAAUAGUUCGGUACACCAUAUAUUUAGUAUGGUGUACCGAACUAUUUGGCCACUUUGACUGCUACAAAGUAUUUGACGCUGACUG